UAUAGGUGUGUAUAAUAUGAAAAUUGCUAUAUCGAUCUCUUAAAGCUUUGAUGAAUCUUCGCAUUUAAAUUGUGAUUAGGCCUUAACUGAAUUCAAAGUAGAAGUGAAUGUAUAUUGAGUUACGGGUUUGAGUUCUAGAAUAAUUAUGGCAAGUUAGGCAAUAAAAAUAGUGCAACAUUAACUGUUUUUGUGGAAAGCUUAAGUAGAAAGUACAAAAACAAAGUGAGAUUUAUUGCAGUAUGUUCUCCUAAUGUCUUAAUGUAUAAACAACUAUAAAAAAACACACCAUGUAUGUACAUAUUUACAAAUAUACAUUACCUAAUGCAAUUUUAUGGCACUCGUCCACAUGGGGCUCUUUUGUCCGUUGACAUGAAUACGUCUACACCUAACCCUUUGUUCUCAGAUUGAUAACAAAUAAGCUAUUGCGUCUGAUUUACGUAUAAAUAUGACAGCUAUAACGAACGUCGAUCAUUGCAGACUUUAAGCUUGCGACAUGAAGUUCUAUACGCUCCUCGCUUUCGUGCUAGCCAUGCUGGCUAUGGCAUUUGCUAUUCCUAAUCCUGAGCUCCGACCAAUUUCUGAGCUAUAUCCUGGCGGCGGUGGCGGUGGAGGUGGAGGAGGUGGCGGCGGUGGUGGCGGAGGCGGUGGUGGUAAAUAAGGCAGUCAGAGAAGGGUUUAUAUUUGUCUUUAAUUUUUUUUGGAAAACUAUUGUAUUACUUUAAAACAUUUAUACAAUAAACAAAGUAAUAAAUACAUAUAUACAUACACACAAAAAA